CCCUUUUGGGUGUGACUGCGUACCUUUUGUAUAAUGGGUCAGCGACUUAUAUUCUGUAGCAAGGUUAACCGCAUAGGGGAGCCGGAGGGAAACCGAGUCUUAAUUGGGCGUUAAGUUGCAGGGUAUAGACCCGAAACCCGGUGAUCUAGCCAUGGGCAGGUUGAAGGUUGGGUAACACUAACUGGAGGACCGAACCGACUAAUGUUGAAAAAUUAGCGGAUGACCUGUGGCUGGGGGUGAAAGGCCAAUCAAACCGGGAGAUAGCUGGUUCUCCCCGAAAGCUAUUUAGGUAGCGCCUCGUGAAUUCAUCUCCGGGGGUAGAGCACUGUUUCGGCUAGGGGGCCAUCCCGGCUUACCAACCCGAUGCAAACUGCGAAUACCGGAGAAUGUUAUCACGGGAGACACACGGCGGGUGCUAACGUCCGUCGUGAAGAGGGAAACAACCCAGACCGCCAGCUAAGGUCCCAAAGUCAUGGUUAAGUGGGAAACGAUGUGGGAAGGCCCAGACAGCCAGGAUGUUGGCUUAGAAGCAGCCAUCAUUUAAAGAAAGCGUAAUAGCUCACUGGUCGAGUCGGCCUGCGCGGAAGAUGUAACGGGGCUAAACCAU
rnacentral:rRNA from 1 species